UACGUAGGGUGCAGGCGUUAAUCGGAAUUACUGGGCGUAAAGCGUGCGCAGGCGGUUUGCUAAGACAGGUGUGAAAUCCCCGGGCUUAACCUGGGAACUGCGCUUGUAACUGGCAAGCUAGAGUGUGGCAGAGGGGGGGUGGAAUUCCACGUGUAGCAGUGAAAUGCGUAGAGAUGUGGAGGAACACCGAUGGCGAAGGCAGCCCCCUGGGCUAACACUGACGCCUCAUGCACGAAAGCGUGGGGAGCAAACAGG
rnacentral:rRNA from 1 species